GAAUGGAUCCUUGAUCUAGGGUUCUAGUAGAUUCUAAAAAACAUAGUGGACACGACUAUCACCUUGAAAGUAUCCCUUAUGCUGUCGUUGCGGCAAACUGGGGAGAAAUUGAAGGCCUUGACGAGGCCGUGGUGGAAAUUCUCGCCGCACAGCAACAUUUACAAGGAAAUGGUGAGGACACUGUGGAUGCUAAGGAAGAUCUGGGGCCAUUCCCAAAUCCGAAAUCUGCUUUGGAUGAAGGGUUUUUCGAAUUUGAUCCAAUACAAGCGGAAACUGAACUUCCCGACGGAACAAGUGUUGGUGGAUAUUUU